AGAGUUUGAUCCUGGCUCAGGAUGAACGCUAGCUACAGGCUUAACACAUGCAAGUCGAGGGGCAGCAUUUUAGUUUGCUUGCAAACUAAAGAUGGCGACCGGCGCACGGGUGAGUAACACGUAUCCAACCUGCCGAUAACUCGGGGAUAGCCUUUCGAAAGAAAGAUUAAUAUCCGAUAGUAUAUUAAAACCGCAUGGUUUACUAUUAAAGAAUUUCGGUUAUCGAUGGGGAUGCGUUCCAUUAGUUUGUGGCGGGUAACGGCCACCAAGACUACGAUGGAAUAGGGGGUUCUGAGAGGAAGGUCCCCACAUUGGAACUGAGACACGGUCCAAACUCCUACGGGAGGCA
rnacentral:rRNA from 1 species